GAUGAAGAACGCAGCGAAAUGCGAUAAGUAAUGUGAAUUGCAGAAUUCAGUGAAUCAUCGAAUCUUUGAACGCACAUUGCGCCCGCCAGUAUUCUGGCGGGCAUGCCUGUUCGAGCGUCAUUUCAACCAUCAAGCCCCCCGGCUUGUGUUGGGGACCUGCGGCCGCCGCAGGCCCUGAAAAGCAGUGGCGGGCUCGCUGUCACACCGAGCGUAGUAGCAUACAUCUCGCUCUGGGCGUGCUGCGGGUUCCGGCCGUUAAACCACCUUCAUAACCCAAGGUUGACCUCGGAUCAGGUAGGAAGACCCGCUGAACUUAAGCAUAUCAAUAAGCGGAGGA
rnacentral:misc_RNA from 1 species